UACGGAGGGGGCGAGCGUUAUUCGGAAUUAUUGGGCGUAAAGGGCGCGUAGGCGGCUGUACAAGUCAAAGGUGAAAUCCCUCGGCUCAACUGAGGAACUGCCUUUGAAACUGUACGGCUUGAGGCCGGGAGGGGGUAGCGGAAUUCCCAGUGUAGCGGUGAAAUGCGUAGAUACUGGGAGGAACACCAGUGGCGAAGGCGGCUACCUGGACCGGUUCUGACGCUGAGGCGCGAAAGCCAGGGGAGCAAACGGG
rnacentral:rRNA from 1 species